UCGAGCGGUACAGGAAUUAGCUUGCUAAUUUGCUGACGAGCGGCGGNNGGGUGAGUAAUGCCUAGGGAACUGCCCAGUCGAGGGGGAUAACAGUUGGAAACGACUGCUAAUACCGCAUACGCCCUACGGGGGAAAAGAGGGGACCUUCGGGCCUUCUGCGAUUGGAUGUACCUAGGUGGGAUUAGCUAGUUGGUGAGGUAAUGGCUCACCAAGGCGACGAUCCCUAGCUGUUCUGAGAGGAUGAUCAGCCACACUGGGACUGAGACACGGCCCAGACUCCUACGGGAGGCAGCAGUGGGGAAUAUUGCACAAUGGGCGCAAGCCUGAUGCAGCCAUGCCGCGUGUGUGAAGAAGGCCUUCGGGUUGUAAAGCACUUUCAGCGAGGAGGAAAGCUUAAGCGUUAAUAGCGUUUAGGUGUGACGUUACUCGCAGAAGAAGGACCGGCUAACUUCGUGCCAGCAGCCGCGGUAAUACGAGGGGUCCAAGCGUUAAUCGGAAUUACUGNGCGUAAAGCGUACGCAGGCGGUUUGUUNAGCGAGAUGUGAAAGCCCCGGGCUCNACCUGGGAACUGCAUUUCGAACUGGCAAACUAGAGUCUUGUANNNGGGGGGUAGAAUUUCNGGUGUAGCGGNGAA
rnacentral:rRNA from 1 species